UGCCAGCCGCCGCGGUAAUACAUAGGGGUCAAGCGUUGUUCGGAAUUACUGGGCGUAAAGCGCACGUAGGCGGACUGGAAAGUUGGGGGUGAGAUCCCAGGGCUCAACCCUGGAACUGCCUUUGAUACUGUCAGUCUUGAGUUCAAGAGAGGUGAGUGGAAUUCCAAGUGUAGAGGAGAAAUUCGUAGAUAUUUGGAGGAACACCAGUGGCGAAGGCGGCUCACUGGCUCGAUACUGACGCUGAGGUACGAAAGUGUGGGGAGCAAACAGGAUUAGAUA
rnacentral:rRNA from 1 species